GACUGAGACACGGCCCAGACUCCUACGGGAGGCAGCAGUGGGGAAUAUUGCACAAUGGGCGCAAGCCUGAUGCAGCAACGCCGCGUGAGGGAUGACGGCCUUCGGGUUGUAAACCUCUUUUAGUAGGGAAGAAGCGAAAGUGACGGUACCUGCAGAAAAAGCACCGGCUAACUACGUGCCAGCAGCCGCGGUAAUACGUAGGGUGCAAGCGUUGUCCGGAAUUAUUGGGCGUAAAGAGCUCGUAGGCGGCUUGUCGCGUCUGCUGUGAAAUCCCGGGGCUCAACCCCGGGCCUGCAGUGGGUACGGGCAAGCUAGAGUGCGGUAGGGGAGAUUGGAAUUCCUGGUGUAGCGGUGGAAUGCGCAGAUAUCAGGAGGAACACCGAUGGCGAAGGCAGAUCUCUGGGCCGCUACUGACGCUGAGGAGCGAAAGCAUGGGGAGCGAACAGGAUUAGAUACCCUGGUAGUCCAUGCCGUAAACGUUGGGAACUAGAUGUAGGGCCUGUUCCACGGGUUCUGUGUCGUAGCUAACGCAUUAAGUUCCCCGCCUGGGGAGUACGGCCGCAAGGCUAAAACUCAAAGGAAUUGACGGGGGCCCGCACAAGCGGCGGAGCAUGCGGAUUAAUUCGAUGCAACGCGAAGAACCUUACCAAGGCUUGACAUAGCCGAGAACGCUGUAGAGAUACAGAACUCUUUGGACACUCGGUUACAGGUGGUG
rnacentral:rRNA from 1 species